GGUCCUUUCAUCAUUCCAGGGUGGAACUACAAUGAAUGGCAGGGACUGGGAACGAAUCCACGUUCAAGUUACUGCAACCAAUCACCAUUCACGAAAUAUGCAGAAGUUGUAUUCACAGAUAAUCCUACACAUGAGUACAAACACCAGCGACUGACGGACAGGAGGGCAGAUUCAUUUUAGUAUUAUUAUUAGCUCGCURGUAAUCUAUUAAAUAUACACAUUUGAUACAAUUUCUACGUGGGUAUGGCAGAGGAGGUAACGAAAACCACAGGCGGACUCUCAGUGGGUGAGAUGUAUGUGUCUGACAAAGAAGGAAAUGACCAGGACGGUGAUGGAACAGAGCCGAAGCCUUUCAAGACCUCAUUGAGGAAUCGGGAGAGGCAAAGGAGAGAGCCGUGAAUCCUCCGAA